AGUAUAUAUACUAUAAAAUUUGAGUGGAAUGCCAAAAUUAAUUAUAGUUUAGCACUAUAAAUAGGAAGGACUGUGUGUAGGAAAGAGUAGAGCUUACAAGCAAAUUAUUCUUUUAGUAAGAUUAAUGUACAAGUAUACGCGGGAAUUACAAAUUUAUAAGCAGAUGGAGAGUAUCUCAGUUAAAUUCUUAGCUCCUGCUGUUUUAGCGAUAUUGUUCUUGCUGACUAUCACAACAGGUUAAUUACUGCCCUUAAUAAAUUAGCUUUAAUGUAUAUUGUAUAGUGUAUAUCCUUUGUUUUUUUCCUUUGUUUGGGCUUGUUUGCUGCAGGUGUAAACUUUAAGUUUUUUUUUUUGUUUUUAUACUUAUCAACGUAAAAACUAUAUUUUGCAAAUCCCAGAAAACAUACUUUUAGAAGCAUCUCUAUUCUAUAUGGGAAGAGGGGUAGGACACCAAAAUUACAAAACACCCAUUUUACCCUCACUAAUCUUUAUUUUAUAUGUCAAGAGGGUAGAACACUAUUAAAAAAAAAAAAAGGGUAACUAACUGCUGUAUUUAGAGCACUCCCAAUGGUGAUGGGUUUGAUCACCAAAAUUUCCUACUUACUCAUGUUUUGAUCAUUUCAUGAUCAAAUGUAUCACCUCCACCCCACUCAUGAACAAAAAAACCAUCAAACUUCACUUUAUCUCUCCUACUUUUCACUACCCCACCUCAACUUUCUCUCUCCUAUUUCUCUUUCCUACUUCAAUAAAUAAUAUAAUUUACAUAUUAAAAAUAAAAAUAAAUCAUCUUAUGAUUACUUAAAAUUAUAAUAAUUAAUUACCAAAAUUAAUUAUCAUUAUUGGGUUAUUAGUAAAAUAAAAAUUUAUUAGAAAAUAUGAUUUUUUUCCCUCUUUUUAGGUGAGAAGGAGAAGGUAAAAAAUUAUAGAGAAAAAUGAUGUAUAAAUAUUUUUAGAGAGAAAGGUGAGGAGGAGAAGUGUUUUUUUUUUUUGUUCUGAAAUAUAUCAAUAUGGGUAUCAUUUUAUAGAGGGAAAAAAAAUAUGAAUUUUGGUAUUUUUUUUUUUUUUUUGAAAUACAAAUUUUCUGGGAAAUUCCGUGGAAAUUUCCACGAAAUUUCCCAAAAAGAACACAGCAGCAGCCACGUGGCAGCUUGCCACUGGCUGGCUGUGUGUGACUAGGCUGAUUUUGUCUUCCAUUCACACAUUUCAUUUGCUGAUGGAUUUGUUCACAUGGUGAUGGAUGACAAAACAUGUCAUUUGGUGAUAGGUUUUCUAUCACCAAUGGGAUACAUGUUUUUUUUGUUCAACCCAAAUUUUCUGAUUUUGGUGAUGAGUUAUGUCACCAUUGGGAGUGCUCUUAAAUAACUAACUGCUGUAUUUAAAUUACAUAAAACUACUCUAUUUGAAAGCAGAAAAAAUUAAGAUUGACAAAAUAAACCACCGCACAACCGUGGAAGACAGUUUUUACAUUAUCAUCCAUUUUUCUUUUAACCUACAUCCAUUUCUAAACAUUAAGAUCAAACUUCAAUACAAAGCUUAGUCAAUGUUCAGAAUUAAAAGAAAUAGUAUUAACACAACAAACAACUUCAUCUCUCCUAAGAAAACAAUUAUAUUCAACAAACCGAUUGAAAUCACGAUCACUAUCUCCAACUUCCUUCAAGGUACUUUGAAUAGGAAGAAGAAGCACACAGCUUGCAGGCAAUAGACAAUGGCAAUAGGAUUUCAUCCCUUGCAGUUCCAACAGUCACGAGCGUCUCCAGUGCUGGGAAGGAUGCCAACUAAAACUUCUGCAGAAAUGUUAGUAGAAUAUAAAGUGACAGUAAUAGAAGAAGUGGCAAAAAUCGAACCCUAUGUAGAUCAAUCUGGAAACCAGCAACCAAAAAUUGAUGUUUUGGAGGUCCAAAGUGAUAAGCAAGUCGCAGCAACUACGGCAGAAGUAGUAUUGGAGUGCCAAGGAAACAAGGAGUACUGUAACCUGCUCCCAUUUGUUGGAAAAAAAUGUUGCUCUGGAUACAUUUGUGUUCCAUUAGCAGGUGUUGCUGGUGGUGCAUGUCUGAGAGUCUGAGAAGUGAGAACAACAGGAACUAUUAAUGAAGUAUACCACAAUUAGUUGAUUUAUUUCUUGUUUUUCUCCACAAUUCCUACAUCUACUUCAUAAUGUACUGUGUCAUCUGCUUGCUUUUCUGCUCUCUGCUUGUUGAGUAAACAAGUAGCAAGUACUAGCAAGAAGAGCAAAGUCAAUAAGAUUUGUCAGGUUGAAUUAAUACUUUUGGCAAAUUCUAUAGAAGACGAUUUUCGUGUUUGGAAACAUAGUGAAAAUAAGAGUUUUUUACGGGGUAUUUUGUGGGAAGAUACCUUAUUAUUUUUUUUUUGUGGGGAUAUACCAACUUAAAUUUAAGUUUUUGUUAUAAUGUACCAAAAACAUUAUUUUUGGCGAGAAAGUCAAAUUUCCGACCUUUAAAUUGCUUAAAUAAUCUUUUUAUAGUGCGUGACAUUCAAUUACUUCUAUUAAAUACAUUUCCCUCCAACUUACACACUA